CUCAGCUCUACAUAACAGUCUGUUUAGGUCUUUCUAAUAACAGAAUUUAGUCUUUUCUAGGCAAUGUCUUAUUGGUUUGGUUUAAUGCCAAAAGUUUUUUUUUUUUCCAAAGUACACAAGGGACUUUGCUAGCUCACUGGGAUUUUGAAAGUUGAAUCCUUUUGAAAUGUAUUUAAGACCAAUGGAAUUUAACUGCAUUGGCUAAUAGUAGCAAUGAGUUCAACAGCAACACUCCAGGGCUCUUGAUGUAAUGGGAAAAUAUCUUGGUGGUGGACAUUACCUCUUCACGACCUUAUUUGACCUACUUUGGACAUCUAAAAUGAGUGAAUUUGACAUAAGAACUCUAUAUACAUCUGAACAGGAGCCAGGCAUGUAGGAAUAAUGAACUGGAGAAAUUCCAUGUGAACUGGAACAACUUUCAGGAACUGAUGCAGUGAGAGGAGCAGAACCAGGAGAACAUUAUACACAGAGAUGGAAAA
rnacentral:lncRNA from 1 species